UGUUUGUUUGUUUUUCUUUUUCUUUUUCUUUUUUCCUGUUCUUUUACUUCCUUUUC
rnacentral:ribozyme from 14 species